UACGGAGGGGGCUAGCGUUGUUCGGAAUUACUGGGCGUAAAGCGCACGUAGGCGGCUUUGUAAGUUAGAGGUGAAAGCCCAGGGCUCAACCCUGGAAUUGCCUUUAAGACUGCAUCGCUUGAACAUCGGAGAGGUAAGUGGAAUUCCGAGUGUAGAGGUGAAAUUCGUAGAUAUUCGGAAGAACACCAGUGGCGAAGGCGACUUACAUGGACGAUUGUUGACGCUGAGGUGCGAAAGCGUGGGGAGCAAACAGG
rnacentral:rRNA from 1 species